rnacentral:rRNA from 1 species
AUGAACGCUGGCGGCGUGCUUAACACAUGCAAGUCGAACGAUUAAAGCUCACUUCGGUGAGUGUAUGGAGUGGCGAACGGGUGAGUAACACGUGGGAAACCUGCCCCUUUCUUCGGGAUAACUUCGGGAAACCGUUGCUAAUACCGGAUACUCCGGGAUGGUCGCAUGGCCGACCCGGGAAAGCUUUAUGUGGAAAGGGAUGGUCCCGCGGCCCAUUAGCUUGUUGGUGGGGUAAUGGCCUACCAAGGUGAUGAUGGGUAGCCG